AUACUCUUCUGCUUCUCCCUUUGUUUUCCUCCCUUCUUCAUUUCUUUUAAUGUAGUUUUUCUAUGUUUUUCAUUUGUUAAAACUAGUUCACAAGGUUGCGUCACUCGAAAAAAUUAAAUUGUUCAAAAAAUAAAAGUAUAGGGACUAGUUUUAACAAAUGGCAAACUUAGAAAAUUGCGUUAAAAGAAAUAGAGAAUGGAGGAAAACAGAGGGAGAAGCAGAAGAGCAU
rnacentral:pre_miRNA from 1 species